rnacentral:rRNA from 1 species
AACGAACGCUGGCGGCAUGCCUAACACAUGCAAGUCGAACGAGACCUUCGGGUCUAGUGGCGCACGGGUGCGUAACGCGUGGGAAUCUACCCUCCGGUUCGGAAUACCUCAGAGAAAUUUGAGCUAACACCGGAUGAUGACGUAAGUCCCAAGAUUUAUCGCCUGAGGAUGAGCCCGCGUAGGGUUAGGUAGUUGGUGAGGUAAAGGCUCACCACGCCGACGAUCCUUAGCUGGUCUGAGAGGAAGAUCAGCCACACUGGGACUGAGACACGGCCCAGACUCCUACGGGAAGCAGCGGUGGGGACUAUUGGAGCAUGGGCGAAAGCCUGAUCCAGCCAUGCCGCGUGAGUGAUGAAGGCGUUAGGGUUGUAAAGCUGUUUUACCCGGGAUGAUAAUGACAGUACCUGGAGAAUAAGCGCCGGCUAACUCCGUG